rnacentral:misc_RNA from 1 species
UUAUCUAUCUAUAAUAUAUAUAAACGCGAAAGGUCAUUCAUCACGAAAUCUCCGAAACUAUAACACCUACAAACUUGAAAUUUGGCAAGUAGGCUCCUUAUAGGACGUAGACAUCCGCUAAGAACGGAUUUUACGAAACUCAACCCCUAAGGGGGUAAAAUGGGGGUUGAAAGUUUGUAUGAGAGUCCCAUGUUUUUGACGUAAGAGACUUGAAAUUUAAAAUGUAUGCUCUAUAGAU